CAGGAGAUUACCACAAAUACGAUGGAAGAAUUCCUAGGCACUGGUCUCGCUAGUGUCAACGUGCUCAAACUGAGGCCAGGAAGUAUCAUUGCUGACUUAGAACUAAUAUUUAACAAUUCUGUCGGUGAAAGUUAUGUAAGUGCAUUGCUGACACAGGCAGCGAACGAUGGAAAACUUGGCAGUCUAGAAGUUGAAGAGGUGGUCCUUCGAAAAACUUUUCAAGGUCAGAUCUUUUGACUAACUGAUAUCGCUGUUGUUAUUACUGUUGCUAGGGAUGUUUUUCGUUAUUGUUGUAGCAAUGAACUUACUUUUCAACCAGUUUCUUGAUGUAGAUUUAGCUUAAAAAGUAAAAAGAAGUUGACUUGCAUAGAAAGUUGCAAUUACUACGGGGUGUUAAUGACGAAGAUAAAACAAGAGCAACAACCGUAAAUCGACCUAUCGCGUUACGUUGUCAUUACCUCGACCGUUAUAAUAAGACUUGUUCAAUUUCUAGAAAACUGAUGGGUAAAUUGAAGUUGAUUGCGUCUCGGUACUCAAAACUCUUUCAGUGAUAGGGCGUACAUCUUAAAGUUAAAGGUACAUUGCUGCUACUGCAAGAUGACUUCUUUACUAGUGAAACGACAGAUUAGGAGCAGCCCCCUCUUUUCGGCUAAGUCCAUUGCGCGAGUGAAAAAAAAUAUCAGUGAAAAAAAAGUUGAGUAAGAGCGCCGCGGGAAACUCUCCAAGUGACGCCGAUAUACCGCAGAAGCUCCAUGAGCGAGGCGCUCGAAAAUUAGAGUAGUAAUAAUUGGCGGUUUUAUUUAGACUGAUAUGUUUUUAACAUAGUAGUUUUGGUUCUAUCAACUGAGUUAAUGUAAAUUGGCCACCGUAAAGAGUAGCAAAGCUAAAGUUUCGAGCGUUAGCCUUCGUCAUGGCGAGAGUUUUAACUAC